CGAGCGGAUCGUUCGCUGACAGAGAGGAGGGGAGACGACGCAGACGAAGAGGCGACCCCGCCCAACGCCCAGGAGACGCAGGCGAUACGACCGCGGAUCAACUUUGUGCGGCAUUCAUGGCGGAUGAUGUGUGCCCCUUGCCAGCGGUGACUAAUGGAUGUCUCUCUGUUUUCUCGUCCUUCUGCUGCCUCAGUUCAGGCACGUGUAUAUAUAUACUUCUUCCUCUACCACUCUCAACUCACCCUUUCCACUCCGGCGAUAGAAUAUCCAUCAGCAUGGUGCUUUGCUAGGUAAAAAAAGCCUUCCAUAAUCGCUUCUCUCGAUCUCCCUACUUUGCUCGUUUGUCUCCGUCCACCCCCAGCACCGCUAUGCUUGUAGCGGAAACCCAAGUGGCAACCGUGUUGGCAGGUUAACCGGAAACUCCAGAAGUGGCGGUCAUGCCCCCUUCAAUGUCUUUAAGCACAUCCACGGUCCGUCUGCUGUGGUCGCUGCAAUGUGUACCACAAAAGUUAGGUGGUGCUGAAUUCGUUAGAUAAAUUAUUAUUUUUGAAGUGAAUCAGUAAAUCGCUGCGGUGUAAUAUAUGAGGAGUUUCAUUCAACUGAAUUAUAUUUUCAGUUUUGCUAAAGCAUAUCUAGAUGUGCCAUAAGUAUUGUACAUCUAAGUCAUAUGUCAUUGAUUUUACAUUGA